GGCUCUGAGGUGUGUACACAUCGCCCCGUCGCUCUCAUUAUAGAUUAUUCUAUUUUAUUACUUUGAUUGAGCCUCCAUUUAGAGGAGAUAAGUCGUAACAUCGUAGAUGAACUGGAAAGUGUAUCUAGGAAGAGUUUC
rnacentral:rRNA from 1 species